rnacentral:lncRNA from 1 species
CGUGAACAAGAGGACAGUGGAAUCAAUUUUCUCCACUUUGCUUGGGACAACAGUAGGGGAAAGUGUAAAAGGUGACUUGAAAAAUCACAGUAGGAAAACUCGCUUCUGUAAGCAGGAAGGCUCAGGAUGGUGAGUGAUCUUCAAAGGCAAGGACUGGGAAAAUGAACAGAUAUCAAGAUCCCAGAAGUAGCUGAUGCAAAAAUCACAUCUCCCAACCAAAGAAGACAAGAGAGCUUCUGCUCAGGAGUCACCAGACAAGUCAUUGGAAUCUGUACAGCACUGGAUUCUCUUGAGCACCUAUAAAUUUUCGUAACAUCAGCUCCAAUAAGAUAUUCUAGUCUCUGAAGCAGAAAGAUUACCAAAUCACAGCUAACCUGGGCAAC